rnacentral:rRNA from 1 species
UACAGAGGGUGCGAGCGUUAAUCGGAAUUACUGGGCGUAAAGCGCGCGUAGGCGGCUUUGCAAGUCGGGUGUGAAAUCCCCAGGCUUAACCUGGGAACUGCAUUCGAGACUGCAUUGCUAGAGUAUGGGAGAGGGAAGUGGAAUUUCCGGUGUAGCGGUGAAAUGCGCAGAUAUCAGGAGGAACACCGGUGGCGAAGGCGGAUCUCUGGGCCGGUACUGACGCUGAGGAGCGAAAGCGUGGGGAGCAAACAGG